AAUCCUCUUGGAGCUGAGUCUUGGGGGCUGCACAUUCCACUCACCCUCCUGCUCCUCCAUCCUCAGCGAGCUCCCUGAAGCUCUGCAUCCCACCCUGGAGACACUGCCGAGUCCUGAGUCACCGAGGCAGGAGACAGUUCCUGAGUGCAGCAGGAGAAGCUGUCGGGGAAGGAGAGGCAGGCAGGAGAAAGCCAGGAGCCAGAAGAACCAAGGACGGCUUCAGAAGUCCACCUGUGCAUGGUGCAGAGCGUGCUGAGAGCAAGGCCAUCAGUGCAAACGUGCAUUCCAGAGGCACACCCAGAGUGCUCACAGCCAUCCUGUGAAGUGGGUAUUAUUAACUGCACUUUAUCGAUGAAGAAAAGAAAGCUCCAGAGGUUAACUGAUUCGUCCAAGAACGCAGAAGAAUCAUCUACAUUCAUUCAUUCAACAAAUGCUAAUUCAGGGUUGGCCGUAUGCUAGGCCCUGUUGUAGGAGAUGGGAAUAGAGCCCAGGACAGACCUUGCCCAUCUUGAAGAUUUCUCCCUUGGCUGCAUAUCUCUAUUAGACAA
rnacentral:lncRNA from 1 species